rnacentral:rRNA from 1 species
CCUACGGGGGGCUGCAGUGGGGAAUAUUGGACAAUGGGGGGAACCCUGAUCCAGCCAUGCCGCGUGUGUGAAGAAGGCCCUCGGGUUGUAAAGCACUUUCAGUGAGGAAGAACGCCUGGUGGUUAAGACCCAUCAGGAAAGACAUCACUCACAGAAGAAGCACCGGCUAACUCCGUGCCAGCAGCCGCGGUAAUACGGAGGGUGCGAGCGUUAAUCGGAAUUACUGGGCGUAAAGCGCGCGUAGGUGGCUUGAUAAGCCGGGUGUGAAAGCCCCGGGCUCAACCUGGGAACGGCAUCCGGAACUGUCAAGCUAGAGUGCAGGAGAGGAAGGUAGAAUUCCCGGUGUAGCGGUGAAAUGCGUAGAGAUCGGUAGGAAUACCAGUGGCGAAGGCGGCCUUCUGGACUGACACUGACACUGAGGUGCGAAAGCGUGGGUAGCAAACAGGAUUAGAUACCCCUGUAGUC